rnacentral:rRNA from 1 species
AGAGGGUGCGAGCGUUAAUCGGAAUUACUGGGCGUAAAGCGCACGUAGGCGGCUUGGUAUGUCGGGUGUGAAAUCCCCGGGCUCAACCUGGGAACUGCAUCCGAAACUGCCUUGCUCGAGUAUGGGAGAGGGAAGCGGAAUUUCCGGUGUAGCGGUGAAAUGCGUAGAUAUCGGAAGGAACAUCAGUGGCGAAGGCGGCUUUCUAGGCUGUUCCUGACGUUGAUACCCAAAAGCGUGGGGAGCGAAACGGAUUAGAUACCCGUGUAGUCCACGCCCUAAACGUUGGAAACUAGGUAUGGUGAGUAUCGACCCUCUUCGUGCCGAAGCUAACGCUUUAAGUUUCCCGCCUGGGGACUACGGCCGCAAGGCUA